CCUACGGGAGGCAGCAGUGGGGAAUAUUGCACAAUGGGCGAAAGCCUGAUGCAGCAACGCCGCGUGAGUGAAGAAGGAUUUCGGGGUGUAAAGCUCUAUCAGCCGGGAAGAAAAUGACAGUACCUGACUAAGAAGCCACUGCUAACUACGUGCCAGCAGCCGCGGUCAUACGUAGGGGGCACGCGUUAUCCGGAUUUACUGGGUGUAAAGGGAGCGUAGACGGCUGCGCGAGGCAGACGUGAAAGCCCGGGGCUUAACCGCGGGACUGCCUUUGAAACUGGAUAGCUAGAGUGCAUGAGAGGUAAGUGGAAUUCCUAGUGUAGCGGUGAAAUGCGUAGAUAUGAGGCGGAACACCGGUGGCGAAGGCGGCUUACUGGACUGCAACUGACGCUGAGGCUCGAAAGCGUGGGGAGCAAACAGGAUUAGAUACCCGGGUAGUC
rnacentral:rRNA from 1 species